rnacentral:snoRNA from 1 species
AAGCAAUGAUGAAAGCUGCGCUCUUGUGGUGAUUUGGGUCUCCACAAAUUAUCUGAUCUUUAAUCCGACGACUAGCAGCGCCUCUGAGCUC